UACGUAGGGGGCAAGCGUUGUCCGGAUUUAUUGGGCGUAAAGAGCGUGUAGGCGGUUCGGUAGGUCCGUUGUGAAAGCCCCGGGCUCAACCUGGGAAUGGCAGUGGAAACUAGGGGACUGGAAUCUGGCAGAGGGGGGUGGAAUGCCGCGUGUAGCAGUGAAAUGCGUAGAGAUGCGGCGGAACACCGAUGGCGAAGGCAGCCCCCUGGGCUGAGAUUGACGCUCAGGCACGAAAGCGUGGGGAGCAAACAGG
rnacentral:rRNA from 1 species